UAAUAAGUAUAUACUGCCUCAACUUCGCGAGUUCGACGUUUAUUUUAUACCGUAUCUAUAUAUGUAGUUAACAAAUCAUUAAAAUUAAAGAAUAAAUCGAAUACAAUGUAUGUAUUAUUUUAGAAUCGUUCAUUUCCCUGAGUUAGUUCUGUUUCGCGGAAAAAUGUUUCGCUUUGUUUCCAUUAUUUUGCUGCAUUAUAUUUUAAUUUUUCAAAAUGGAUUUGGUUUUAUUCAAGCUAACAAUACAUGUACGGUGUGCGAAGACAAAUUGCAAAUUGUUGUGCAAUUAGUCGUAAAUGAUGAUAUCGUCGAAGAUGUGGGAAUGGAUCAAGAUACAAUCGAUGCUAAACCUUCGUACGACGAAACGCAGUUAAUUGCGAUUCGAAUAUCAGAACCUAGUCUAGUUGUAUGGAAGCAGCAGCUAAAAUCUGCAAGAGCGGUGUUUAUAAAAUUAAGCACGAAAAGAUUAAUAUCAACGAAUUGAAGGUGUUUUGUGAAGAAGAUAUGGAUUUGGGCGGCGGGACAGUUAUUCAAAGUCGUGAAAGUGGCUCCGUAAAUUCUACUCGCGAUUGGAAUGUCUAUAAGGAGGGAUUUGUUAACAUAACGGGAAACUAUUGGAUCGGUUUGGAAAAAUACACGCGCUCACCAGCAUCUGUAAACAAGAGUUGUAUAUUCCAAUGAAAAGAAAUAAUGGCACAAUAUACUAUGCAAAAUAUACAGAUUUGCUCAUUGGGAAUAAGUUAGAAAGCUAUAUUUUGAAGAGUGUGGGUGGUUAUACCGGAAAUGCUGGCGAGUCAUCAAGACCUCAAUCGGGAUACAAAUUUUCAACGUACGUUCGUGAUAGAUAUUUGGAGGGGUAGUUGUGCAAAAACUCAGGAAGGCGGUUGGUGGUUUGGCAGUUGCUAAAGAAGUAACUUAAAUAGAGACUACAUACAGGUUAUGUCAAAAUGAUGAUACGGCCAACAAAAAGUUGCGUUACGCGCUUGAUGUUGCGUAAUUUAAAUCGAUGUGUCUAAAGAAAUGUUAAAAAGGAGCAUGUAAAUAUUAAA